rnacentral:rRNA from 1 species
ACAGAUAUGGUCUCGAAACUUAAAGAAUUUGGCGGUGUUUAAGUCUAGUUAGAGGAACCUGUGCUGUAAACGAUAGUCCACGAGUAUCUGUCUUUAUUUUGUAGAUCCAGUUUGUAUACCGCCGUCUAGUUAGGUAAUUUAAAUAUAAGUGUAUCCAAGUAAAUUGUUUUAGAAUGUUAGGUCAAGGUACAGCCAAUAAUAAAGUAGUCAUGGGUUACAUUAACAAAAAGUUAUAAUGAAUGACUUCUAGAAAUGAGAUGUCUGAAGGUGGAUUUAAAAGUAAGUUAUACACAUUAAGUAUAUCUGAUAUUAGCUCUUAAACAUGUACACAUCG